rnacentral:hammerhead_ribozyme from 1 species
GCACUGCUGAAGAGUCCCGCAAUAGGAUGAAACGACCGUCCAGUGC